rnacentral:rRNA from 1 species
UACGGAGGGUGCAAGCGUUAUCCGGAUUUACUGGGGUUAAAGGGUGUGUAGGCGGACUUUUAAGUCAGCGGUGAAAUCUCCGGGCUCAACCCGGAAACUGCCAUUGAUACUAUUGGUCUUGAAUGUUGUUGAGGUGGGCGGAACGGGUCAUGUAGCGGUGAAAUGCAUAGAUAUGACCCGGAACACCGAUUGCGAAGGCAGCCCACUAAGCAACGAUUGACGCUGAGGCACGAAAGCGUGGGGAUCAAACAGG